UUAUAAAUCAGGUGGUAGAUAAAAUAAUCCAUAGUCACUGCAGUGGUGGGGGUUUCCGUGGACUGCCUAUGAGAGGGGCACGGUAACCCAAUUAUAUAUUUACCUCUGGGGGGAGAUGUUGGAUGAAGUAUCUCCUAAGGUAAAGAUUUAAGUGCACUUCACGUGGACCACCGCAUGAGAGUGAGACUCAGCUAACGCCAAGACAUGGCUAAAAUUUCAGAUGUAAAGACAUUUAACAACCUUGGCGGACUUGAUUGGGAUAACCCUCGAUCAAGGUAUCCCUGAUAACUGAGUAUCAAAAUAAUUUUUGG
rnacentral:lncRNA from 1 species